AGAGUUUGAUCAUGGCUCAGAAUCAACGCUGGCGGCGNUAACACAUGCAAGUCGCACGAGAAAGUGGAGCAAUCCAUGAGUACAGUGGCGUACGGGUGAGUAACGCGUGGAUCAUCUACCUUUUAGUGGGGAAUACCUCCUGGAAACGGGAGACAAUACCGCAUAAUCUCGCGAGAGGAAAGCAGCAAUGCGCUGAAAGAGGAGUCCGCGGCCGAUUAGCUAGUUGGCGGGGUAACGGCCCACCAAGGCGAAGAUCGGUAGCCGGCCUGAGAGGGCUCACGGCCACACUGGCACUGAAACACGGGCCAGACUCCUACGGGAGGCAGCAGUGGGGAAUCUUGCACAAUGGAGGAAACUCUGAUGCAGCGACGCCGCGUGAGCGAUGAAGCCCUUCGGGGUGUAAAGCUCUUUCGACGGGAACGAUAAUGACGGUACCCGAAGAAGAAGCUGCGGCUAACUACGUGCCAGCAGCCGCGGUAAUACGUAGGCAGCAAGCGUUGUUCGGAAUUACUGGGCGUAAAGAGUGUGUAGGCGGUGCUCUAAGUCUGUCGUGAAACCUCCCGGCUUAACUGGGAGGGUGCGGCGGAAACUGGAGUGCUCGAGGGUGGGAGAGGAAAGCGGAAUUCCUGGUGUAGCGGUGAAAUGCGUAGAUAUCAGGAGGAACACCUGCGGUGUAGACAGCUUUCUGGACCACUUCUGACGCUGAGACACGAAAGCGUGGGUAGCAAACAGGAUUAGAUACCCUAGUAGUCC
rnacentral:rRNA from 1 species